rnacentral:rRNA from 1 species
ACAAGCAGCGGAGCGUGUGGUUUAAUUCGAUGCAACGCGAAGACCUUACCUGGGCUUGACAUCCCUGGAAUCCCCUGGAAACAGGGGAGUGCCCUUCGGGGAGCCAGGAGACAGGCGCUGCAUGGCUGUCGUCAGCUCGUGUCGUGAGAUGUUGGGUUAAGUCCCGCAACGAGCGCAACCCUUAUCAUUAGUUGCUAACAUUCAGUUGAGAACUCUAAUGAGACUGCCAGUGAUAAACUGGAGGAAGGUGGGAUGACGUCAAAUCAUCAUGCCCCUUAUGACCUGGGCUACACACGUGCUACAAUGGCCGGUACAAAGAGUUGCGAAACUGUGAAGUUAAGCUAAUCUCAUAAAGCCGGUCUCAGUUCGGAUUGUAGUCUGCAACUCGACUACAUGAAGUCGGAAUCGCUAGUAAUCGCGAAUCAGAAUGUCGCGGUGAAUACGUUCUCGAGUCUU